rnacentral:rRNA from 1 species
GACGUAGGGGACGAGCGUUGUCCGGAUUUAUUGGGCGUAAAGAGCGCGUAGGCGGCUGCGCAAGUCGGAUGUGAAAAUCCGGGGCUCAACCCCGGACUUGCAGUGGGUACGGGCAGACUAGAGUGUGGUAGGGGAGACUGGAAUUCCUGGUGUAGCGGUGAAAUGCGUAGAUAUCUGGAGGAACACCGGUGGCGAAGGCGGCGUCCUGGACCAAUACUGACACUGAGUGAGCGAAAGCCAGGGGAGCAAACGGG